GGUGUGUUACAAUAACCAUACAUCUCUUUUUAUUCCUAUAUAUCUGCCAACUAUCUUGGACAAAAGACAGACAGAUACACCCAGUAGAUAUAUUUAAGUCUUAGGUGCUUCAUACAGUUAUGGAACUAAAUUAUAAAUUUGAAUAUUUUAUUUAGUAUUUUCUUAUUUGUAACCCUUGUGUUACAAAAAUGACUGAUUGUAUGUAACAUUGACAUUGGGUUGUACAAGUGUAAAUUUAAAAAUUACCUGGUUUGGUAGUUCAAACAAACGUGACCAAUUAACAUUGUCAAUACUUGAUUGUUGACCAUUCUGAUUAUCUGUCCAAGUACAAAACUAUGCUAACAAUAUAAUACACAUGAGCAUAUAGAAAGUACUUGAAAAGUUUCAGAGUGUUUGGGGUAGUCUGUCCUGUUCAAUACGGCUCAUAAGAUAAAGGGGAAAGCAACACUAUUAUCGUGUUUAAAUCACGACAAACAAUAGUCACUACAUACUUUCGUCCCUUUAAUUUUUAGGCUUAUACAAUGUACAGAAUAAUAUACCAUUAUAACUUUAUCAUACAUUUCUUCAUCUUUGGUGUGGAAUAAAAGCAAAGGAUAUAAUUACCUGCUUAUAUUUUACUUGUGUUUCAAGCAAGCAUUUGGUGGGUUGAGAGGGGUUUACUGUAACGGCGGUUAUAAACUUACAUAGGCGGAUCCAGGGUGGGGGCCUGGGGGGCCCGGGCCCCCCUUUCGUGGGAAAAAUUUGGUUGAUUAUAUAGGGAAUCACUGAAGCAUGACUGGGAGCGCCCCCCUUUUAGGUCAGUCAGCGGGCCCCCCUUAUGAAAAGUUCUGGAUCCGCCACUGACUUACCACCACCCACGUGCCACCACAUCAGUGUCCUGCAGGCACUUGCCCGCAGGUGGUGUCAAAAGUUACAUGUGCUUGUGUUUUUUCAAAGUUCAUAAAAUGUGGAACAAAUGUCCUCAAUUUCUCUAUUCUAUUUAUAAGGGGAAUAUAAAUAUCAAUGAUCAGUGUUGGAGCUGGGACUAUUGUAUAAUAGUCUCCAUAAUAGUCCCAGGUUGGAGGCAUUAAUGUCAUUAAUACCAUUGUGAGGGUACUACUGGAAAGAAGUUGUUUAAGAAUAGAUCAACCAAGGAUUUGUUUAUUGGAUCAACGGUGAUAACAUUUUAAAACUGUGAUACCCAAACAACCUUGGUAUGAAAUACUGUACAGAAAUUCCCAGUAACCGUUGGGCUUAACAUUACAUAAAAACUAAAGAUUGUGCCAUUGACGGAUCCAGAAAUUUUCAUAAGGGGGCCACUGACUGCUAAAGAGGGGGCCUCCCUAGUCAUGCAUCAGUGAUUCCCGAUAUAAUAGAUCAAAUUUUUGCCACAAAAAGGGGAGGGGCAGGGUGCUCUAAAUCCGCCUUUAUGUGCAACACGAACCUCCAAAAUACAUGGGUGAACUCAAGUAUUGUGAAUGAUAAAGUUAGGAACUUUCUGCUCAACAUGUGGCAACCUAGGUUUGAGUAUACAUGUAAUUGCCAACUUGAAAUUAAGUAAGUAAAACUUUGAUUUGAUUCGCCAUAUUGGCAAACAUGUGAAGAUAAGAUCUGGUGAGCUUUUCGUCGAAUAUCAUGAGGAGAUAGUGUUAAAAAUAUAUGCAUAGUUCAUGAGUUGAAAAUUAUAAAACAAAAUAUAUUGUUUAACCUUGGACAAAAAGAUCAAGUCCAAAACUGGCUGUUAUUUGUGUAGGCUACCUUAAUCUUGAAGAGUAUGCAAUUCUAAAUCAAGGAGGCGGUAGGCAAUUUCCUAAUAAUAUUACAAAAGAACUUGUCACAGAUUCUUAACUAAACGUCUAUCAGAUUAGUAAAAUUUCUAAUUCACUGACAUCUGUUGGACAUAGAUACUCAAAUUGCAGAAUCUUAUUAGUAAUAAAAAAAAAAUCUGUGUUUUCUGUGACAUCAUUUUGAAAAAUAUAUGUUUAUAUUUUAUUUAUUACACUCUAACUGUCUAACAUUUAAUUCUCCUCAGAUUAGAAUUUAGAGUAAUUAUCGUUUGUCAAUUUUCCAAACUUCCCAUGCCCCCCUCAGCAGAGUUAUUUAAUUCUGAAUGGAACAAAAUGUGAAUGAGUUAUAAAUAAUAUAUAAAAUGAUUGAAUAUUCUUUAUUUAGUUUUUCUUUAUUCUCAAUUCUUCCAGAGACAUGUAUAUGCUCUGAGAAUAAUGUCUUUGCAUGAUUCUUCAUAAUUAAGUAUACUCAAUUAUUCUCUAUGAUCCUUCUUUCUAUAUUUUUGCUUUUCAACUAUCUAUAUAUUUUUUUUGUGUCCUUAUUUAAAUCCCCAUUCUUGAUUCCAGACUAACUCUCAUAUAUAUACGUAAAUGUACGAAAGCUUGGCACGUCGAAUACGGAAACCCGGAAAUCUUUUCACCGUUGUCGUUUUUAUACUAUGACGCAAAAUCCAUGGACGCUCGUCUGCUGCUGAAUUCAUGUUUUAAAAGAAUGGACAAAGAUAGUCAGAUAGUUGAUACAAAGACCUUUGAUUUUUCAAACUGAUGGAUCAAAAAGUUAUUAUAAACAGAUAUAUUGAAAUGGCUUUUUCAACGAAAGUACAAUUACUUUUAGAAGUAGGAGAAGCUAAGCAACAGGACAGAAUUCAUUUGAGACAUUGCUUUCUAGAUUAUACAGUGGAGUCAUAGAUUGUCCUAUUGAUUUAUGUGGAUAUGAGGAGCAGUAGUCAAUGAAUAAUUUUGUGAUGAGAGUUGUACAUUGUAUUACAACAAAUGGACAGAGGAGUUGACUAUUGAUAGUGACUGAUAAUGGACUGGAGUAACCUAGGGUCCAAUGACUCCAUGCCUGACAGUCCAUGUGUACAUAAUUAGCUCCUCAGAUGUAAGUGGAAGGGAAGCUAUAAACAUUAUAUGUUUAAAUGAAAUUAACAACAGGAUUAGAUAUUGAGGAGAUCCUAUAGCUACAGUAUAUAUAAAUGUAACUGCAACUGUAUUCCAAGAGUCUGAUGGCUGAUAAUGUAUUACAGGAUUUUAUCAUUCAAGCAACAUCUUAGAAGGAUAAGUGCAAAUGUAUGAAGGAAGCCUUGGGUACAAAUAGCAAUUACAGCAAUUACAUGCAGGAGAGAACUCUUAACAUUACUAACAGACAUGUAGUCAUUAUAUGGGAGUGGUGUAUUCAAGAAAUCUAAAACACAUGGAAUUAAAUAUCGUGUAUAUUUUUUAAACCACAAGUACUCUCAGAAUAUAAUACAAUUCAAAUUCAAAUUAUUGUGCCAACAUGACAAUUACAGUCUAAAAAUGGAAAAUGCAUGUUUUAAACUGAUUUUUAUAUAAAUAUUUGAAAUAACAAGAA